GUGUCAGCAGCCGCGGUAAUACGAAGGUCCCGAGCGUUAUCCGGAUUUAUUGGGUUUAAAGGGUGCGUAGGCGGGUUAUUAAGUCAGUGGUGAAAGCCUUCAGCUCAACUGAAGAACUGCCAUUGAUACUGAUGAUCUUGAGUACGAUUGAGGUAGGCGGAAUGUGUCAUGUAGCGGUGAAAUGCUUAGAUAUGACACAGAACACCGAUUGCGAAGGCAGCUUACUAAGUCGUAACUGACGCUGAUGCACGAAAGCGUGGGGAGCAAACAGGAUUAGAAACCCUGGUAGUCC
rnacentral:rRNA from 1 species